UACGUAGGGGGCGAGCGUUGUCCGGAUUUAUUGGGCGUAAAGAGCUCGUAGGCGGUCUGUCGCGUCGGCUGUGAAAUCCCGAGGCUCAACCUCGGGUCUGCAGUCGAUACGGGCAAACUAGAGUAUUGCAGGGGAGACUGGAAUUCCUGAUGUAGCGGUGAAAUGCGCAGAUAUCAGGAGGAACACCGGUGGCGAAGGCGGGUCUCUGGGCAAUAACUGACGCUGAGGAGCGAAAGCGUGGGGAGCGAACAGG
rnacentral:rRNA from 1 species